AUUGAACGCUGGCGGCAGGCCUAACACAUGCAAGUCGAGCGGAUGAUGAGAGCUUGCUCUCUGAUUCAGCGGCGGACGGGUGAGUAAUGCCUAGGAAUCUGCCUGAUAGUGGGGGACAACGUUUCGAAAGGAACGCUAAUACCGCAUACGUCCUACGGGAGAAAGCAGGGGACCUUCGGGCCUUGCGCUAUCAGAUGAGCCUAGGUCGGAUUAGCUAGUAGGUGAGGUAAUGGCUCACCUAGGCGACGAUCCGUAACUGGUCUGAGAGGGUGAUCAGUCACACUGGAACUGAGACACGGUCCAAACUCCUACGGGAGGCAGCAGUGGGGAAUAUUGGACAAUGGGCGAAAGCCUGAUCCAGCCAUGCCGCGUGUGUGAAGAAGGUCUUCGGAUUGUAAAGCACUUUAAGUUGGGAGGAAGGGCAUUAACCUAAUACGUUAGUGUUUUGACGUUACCAACAGAAUAAGCACCGGCUAACUUCGUGCCAGCAGCCGCGGUAAAAC
rnacentral:rRNA from 1 species